AGAGUUUGAUCCUGGCUCAGGAUUAACGCUGGCGGCGUGCCUAACACAUGCAAGUCGAGCGAGAAGUCGGAAGUGAAACUUCGGUGAAGCAGAAGAUGGAAAGCGGCAGACGGGUGAGUAACGCGUGAAUAAUCAACCCUGUACAAAGGGAUAGCCUCGGGAAACCGGGAUUAAUACCAUAUGAAGUAUAUUAAUCGCAUGAUAGAUAUAUUAAAACUUUGGUGGUACAGGACGAGUUCGCGUCCCAUUAGCUAGUUGGUGAGAUAAAAGCUUACCAAGGCGACGAUGGGUAGCCGGCCUGAGAGGGUGAACGGCCACACUGGAACUGAGACACGGUCCAGACUCCUACGGGAGGCAGCAGUGGGGAAUAUUGCACAAUGGAGGAAACUCUGAUGCAGCGACGCCGCGUGAGCGAAGAAGGCUUUCGAGUCGUAAAGCUCUGUCCUAAGAGAAGAAGAAGUGACGGUAACUUAGGAGGAAGCCCCGGCUAACUACGUGCCAGCAGCCGCGGUAAUACGUAGGGGGCUAGCGUUGUCCGGAAUUACUGGGCGUAAAGGGUGAGUAGGUGGUCAUUAAAGUCAGAUGUAAAAGGCAAUGGCUCAACCAUUGUAAGCAUUUGAAACUUAAUGACUUGAGUGCAGGAGAGGUAAAUGGAAUUCCUAGUGUAGCGGUGAAAUGCGUAGAUAUUAGGAAGAACACCAGUGGCGAAGGCGAUUUACUGGACUGUAACUGACACUGAGUCACGAAAGCGUGGGGAGCGAACAGGAUUAGAUACCCUGGUAGUCCACGCUGUAAACGAUGAGUGCUAGGUGUCGGCAAGAGAUUGUCGGUGCCGCAGUUAACGCAUUAAGCACUCCGCCUGGGGAGUACGAUCGCAAGAUUGAAACUCAAAGGAAUUGACGGGGACCCGCACAAGCAGCGGAGCAUGUGGUUUAAUUCGAAGCAACGCGAAGAACCUUACCAAGACUUGACAUCCUCUUGACAGGUGUAGAAGUACACCCUCUCUUCGGAGCAAGAGUGACAGGUGGUGCAUGGUUGUCGUCAGCUCGUGUCGUGAGAUGUUGGGUUAAGUCCCGCAACGAGCGCAACCCUUAUCAUUAGUUGCCAUCAUUAAGUUGGGAACUCUAAUGAGACUGCCGGUGAUAAACCGGAGGAAGGUGGGGAUGACGUCAAAUCAUCAUGCCCCUUAUGUCUUGGGCUACACACGUGCUACAAUGGUCGGUACAACGGGAAGCUAAGGAGUGAUCUGGAGCUAACCCCAAUAAGCCGAUCCCAGUUCGGAUUGCAGGCUGCAACUCGCCUGCAUGAAGUUGGAGUUGCUAGUAAUCGCGAAUCAGAAUGUCGCGGUGAAUGCGUUCCCGGGUCUUGUACACACCGCCCGUCACACCACGGGAGUUGGUAAUACCCGAAGCCGUCGAGCUAACGUAAGAGGCAGACGUCGAAGGUAGGACUAAUGACUGGGGUGAAGUCGUAACAAGGUAACC
rnacentral:rRNA from 1 species